GUGAGUGGUGAACGGGUUGUGUGGGUUGGCGGGCUCCGUGYUUCGGCAUCGAACCGUCCGCCCAUGCGCCGCGUCAGUUAUGCAUCGAGACUUUYUCGUGCUCUAAAGAGAUUCCUGUAUUUGCUACCUAUGCUUAAAGGAAUGGCGCCUCUCGUUACCCUUCCCCCCCAGACCAUGCGGUUAGGGGAGGACAUCGCGGUAGCGCCUGUGCCCCUCGCAUUGAACAUGCUCUAAGGCAUGUCGCCUUGCGAUGGUUCACAGGCUGUUACUUGAUGCUUCGGAUACGGAACAUUCGGCGGGCUUGGGUGUCUUCACMCCUUUGAAGCCCAAACUCAAGCGUUUUGUCGCUAGACAUGUACGACUGUCAUGCUCGUUGCGGGUCUCUCGCGCGGUGCAUGGCGUCGGCAAAGGAAUGCUACCUGGUUGAUCCUGCCAGUAGUCAUAUGCUUGUCUCAAAGAUWARVCCAUGCAUGUGUAAGUAUGAACUAAUUCASACUGUGAAACUGCGAAUGGCU
rnacentral:misc_RNA from 1 species